GUGUGGCUUUCUUUGUUCUCAUGGCAGAGUGAGGGGUGCUAUCCAUCCACCAAUAGAGCCGGUUUUAGUGAAGAUCCGCUCAUAUGCUGCAUGAGGGGCGGCAAAAGACGGCUUUGCCCAUGAGUUAGCGAUCAAGCGGAAAAGGACCUGCUGGCUUCUUUUCUUUCUGGAGCAGAGCUGCCUUGCUCGUAGCUCCCUAUUGAUAUAAAAGGGGAUAGGAUAAAGGGUGAAAGAAAAAUAAGAAGCAAGUCUUGAGGGAAUAAAGAGCCACCUUUAGGUGGUUCUGCGCCAAGUGCGAUCGAUUGUCCUUCCUUUAUAGAUUGAACUACCGUAACUCCAAUCAACCAACAAAGUAAAUUCCAUACUCAAAGUUGAAUUACCGUACAAACUCAAUAUCUAUAAAAACUAAGGGGGAAGAGUUUUUACUGAAGCCGAAAGGUAUCCUAAAGGAAUGGUAGCACCACAAUCCACCUAGACGCGGCCAUCAUAAAUGGUUCGUGCGACGGCGGCGGAGGCAGGUUCGGGGUAAUUCAUUCAAUCUUCUUCUUUUUUUUUUCUCUUUUUCUGAAUUUUCCUCUUCCCUCCCCCUUAAAACAUUUCCAGAAACUCGAGUUUUUUUUCUUUCUUCUUCUUUCGGUGAAGCCUCCUCUCUAGGUUCUUCUUGCAGCCUUAUCUCUUUAAUUAAAAAAAAAUGGAUUCCCGCAUCGGAACAACACCUACUUACUAUACUAGAUUUAGCCAAUUCGGGUGCGGAUGGGGAUUCUCCAAUUGAUUCUACAGAUUCGAAUCUGGGUGCCCCUGCGCAUAAUAUGGAUAGGGAUGCCGAUUCAGAUGCGGCUAGAAAGGCCCGUUUGAGUGAUUAAUAAACCCUCGUCGGGAUAAACAAGCAAGGGUUUCAUUCUCUGCUUGCUUAUGGGAAUGCUAUUUCGAGAAAUGCUGCUUCAGGAUAAACUAGAUAUGUUGCGAGAUAAACUGGAUAUGUUAGUUCGGCUGAUGCUGGUUUGGAUGCUUACCUAAUCUUUUUCCACCGACCUCGGUUCGGUUGGCUCUUUGAGAUCAACUGAACAGGUUGUUAGCGCUCUCUCCUCCGGUUCUAGGACAUCCGAUCUUAGAAAUUUGAAAAUUUCCUUUUGCUAUUUAACUUCCCCAUAGGGCCUACGGUAGGUUUGUAAAUCAGUAAAUUUAUAGUAGGGGCCUUCACGGCUUGAUAACCAUGUGUUACAGGCCGCGGAAAUCUCUCGCACUUGAAAAAUAGAUGCCAUAUAGCCAAUUAAAUUACUAUGAAAUUAAAUAGUUGAUUCAUUCAAUCAGGACCGCGAAAUAAUAUCAUAGUAUAUUUAAUCAUGCCCUUCCUUGAAUUGAAUGAAAAAAAAGCAGCUGAUUGGUAAUUAAUGUGCGCUCCUGUGGGAGUCGAACCCACCACAUAGGCUUUUUCCUUGUUCUGACCAAACAAAAAAGAUGAUUGAGACUAAGUCAGCUUCCGUAUUCAGGCUUCCUAAUCUAACUGCCUCCUCGGCUUGGCGGGUUUGUCUGUCUUGGUUGACCUUACGGCCGAGCCAGGACUUGCCCUGAAGACGACCUGUUCGAACCUGAUAUAUAGCUGGAAAAUUCGGGGGAGUGUGUUAAGCAAAGACAAGAGGUGUCUUAGUACACA
rnacentral:lncRNA from 1 species